rnacentral:pre_miRNA from 1 species
UCUUAUGGAUGAGCAAAUAAAGUGGUUUCUGAGAUGGACUCUACCUCUGCUGAAGAUGCUGUGAA